AUGAACGCUAGCUACAGGCUUAACACAUGCAAGUCGAGGGGCAGCAUGGUCUUAGCUUGCUAAGGCCGAUGGCGACCGGCGCACGGGUGAGUAACGCGUAUCCAACCUGCCUUACACUCUUGGACAGCCUUCUGAAAGGGAGAUUAAUACAAGAUGUUAUCAUGAGUAAGCAUUUUCACAUGAUUAAAGGUUUACCGGUGUAAGAUGGGGAUGCGUUCCAUUAGAUAGUAGGCGGGGUAACGGCCCACCUAGUCUUCGAUGGAUAGGGGUUCUGAGAGGAAGGUCCCCCACAUUGGAACUGAGACACGGUCCAAACUCCUACGGGAGGCAGCAGUGAGGAAUAUUGGUCAAUGGACGAGAGUCUGAACCAGCCAAGUAGCGUGAAGGAUGAAGGUUCUAUGGAUUGUAAACUUCUUUUAUACGGGAAUAAACGAAUCCACGUGUGGAUUUUUGCAUGUACCGUAUGAAUAAGGAUCGGCUAACUCCGUGCCAGCAGCCGCGGUAAUACGGAGGAUCCGAGCGUUAUCCGGAUUUAUUGGGUUUAAAGGGAGCGUAGAUGGGUUGUUAAGUCAGUUGUGAAAGUUUGCGGCUCAACCGUAAAAUUGCAAUUGAUACUGGCAGUCUUGAGUACAGUUGAGGUAGGCGGAAUUCGUGGUGUAGCGGUGAAAUGCUUAGAUAUCACGAAGAACUCCGAUUGCGAAGGCAGCUUACUAACCUGUAACUGACAUUGAUGCUCGAAAGUGUGGGUAUCAAACAGGAUUAGAUACCCUGGUAGUCCACACGGUAAACGAUGAAUACUCGCUGUAGGCGAUAUACAGUCUGCGGCCAAGCGAAAGCAUUAAGUAUUCCACCUGGGGAGUACGCCGGCAACGGUGAAACUCAAAGGAAUUGACGGGGGCCCGCACAAGCGGAGGAACAUGUGGUUUAAUUCGAUGAUACGCGAGGAACCUUACCCGGGCUUAAAUUGCAACCGAAUAUGGCGGAAACGCUAUAGCUAGCAAUAGCGGUUGUGAAGGUGCUGCAUGGUUGUCGUCAGCUCGUGCCGUGAGGUGUCGGCUUAAGUGCCAUAACGAGCGCAACCCUUGCCGAUAGUUACUAACAGGUCAUGCUGAGGACUCUGUCGGGACUGCCAUCGUAAGAUGUGAGGAAGGUGGGGAUGACGUCAAAUCAGCACGGCCCUUACGUCCGGGGCUACACACGUGUUACAAUGGGGGGUACAGAGGGCUGCUACCACGCAAGUGGAUGCCAAUCCCAAAAACCUCUCUCAGUUCGGAUUGAAGUCUGCAACCCGACUUCAUGAAGCUGGAUUCGCUAGUAAUCGCGCAUCAGCCACGGCGCGGUGAAUACGUUCCCGGGCCUUGUACACACCGCCCGUCAAGCCAUGGGAGCCGGGGGUACCUGAAGUGCGUAACCGCAAGGAGCGCCCUAGGGUAAAACUGGUGACUGGGGCU
rnacentral:rRNA from 1 species